rnacentral:lncRNA from 1 species
GGUUAUUUAACCUAGUUAAGUGUGUGUGUGGUUAGAAGUACUAAAUGACUAAAGUUGUACCCAUUUGUGCUUUAGUGGCUAACACAAGGGACUAAAGGUGGGUUAAUAAGAAAGUUGAGUUAAUAUAUGUGAAAUAAACACACAAAUACACACACACGUACGUCUGUUCGAGAAGGAGCCAGGAACUCCUUGAAGGUUCAUAAACCCUAAUCAUGAAGAUCACCAAAUUGAGGGGUUAAUUGUAGCUCAAAUUCAAGAAGGAACAUGGACUAAUGAUCACCUAAGUAUUUCCUACAUCAAGAAGCGGUUACGAGCACGGAUGCACAAGGUACUACACGGACUUCUUCUGCUGCUAAGGAAGUGAAGCG